GUGCAGCGCGUAAGGGAUGGUAGUGGAAAUCCUUUUUUGCUUAGGCUCGAGAGCCUCAGCCUGACAAAUGGUGGCGCAAAAAAGAUUGUAACGAACAGCCCGACCCGAG
rnacentral:sRNA from 1 species